CUUAGCUAGUGGGACGCGGGCUCCUCCUUUCCAGAAAAACGGGGUUCUUUUGGCCACCCCUGCUCUUGCUCAAGCCAGGCUUCCCCCAGGGCGCCUUCCUCCCCCAGCCAGGUCUCACCCAGGCUGACUUUAACUCCUCGCCGAGAGAGACCGUCCCUGCUUCUUACACUGGGCAGAACAGACUAAGUAACAGUCUGUAAGAAGCAAAGCGCUGGGGGUAGCGCCGUGGUAGCGCGCCUGCCCGGCGUGUCCAAGCCCCUGGGUGCCAUCCCCAGCGACAGCCAAAGUCCAGGUUGUGGUGUGACACGAACGCAUUCGGUGUUUAGACUUGGGUCCCAUCCCCGUGCAGAUACUCCAGACUCUGAAAAAGUCUCAAACCCAAACGCUUCCUUUAGUUUUAAUCUGUAUUAGUACACGUUUGCAGUACCUUCAGUCACCUUCAGUGACCUUCAUCGGGACUUGGUGUGAGUGUCGGUAUUGUGUCUUAGUGAGGUGAAAGUAACGAAGACAAAGUGGAGAGCUGUGGAGCAAUAUGUUUGGAGAACAAAAGGAUAUGAUCUACUGGUGAUAAACCCAUGGAGGCGGGGAGAGGAAAGCUGCUGGCUCCAGUUCUUCUGCGUCCCAGAGACAAGGCCAUUCCUCUUCUGCAGGUGUGCGUCACCAUGCCUGGCUUCCCCGCCGUCCAGAGGAACAGCCUGCAGUUGGGAGACAGCGGAAUGAGCACCCGGAAGGUGCAGUGUGUCCUAGGCUGGAUAAUUUCAUAAACGCAUCGCUUAAUGCAACAAAAUCACCAGCUGCCUGAAGCAAGAUUCCUUGGGCUACAACCAUCAGAAAUAACAGUCCACAGAAAUAGAGCCAGAAAACCCCAGACUGUGUACCAAAUUAUACACACUACCCACGCACAGGAAUUAAUCUUUUUGCAGUAAUAAGGAUCAAACCUAGGACCUUAUGAAUUUGAAGCAAGAGCUCUACCACUGAGCUACAUCCCAGCCCUUUUGUUUUUACAUUCAUUAAAAUAUAUUUUAUUAGUACCUAUUAAUUUUUUAAAAUUCUGGGUUUCAAUGUGGUAUUUUACUAUAGGCAUAUAAUUUAUUUUGAAUAUAUCCAUUCCCUAUUAUUCCCCUUCACACCUCCCUCUCCCCUUAGUCCCUUCUUGUCUAUUAAUAGUGCCCCUACUUUGAUGUUGUUUUUAUUUUAUUUUUUUAACAUUUUAUUUUUUUGGUACUGGGGAUCGAACUCUGGACCUUGUGCUUACGAGGCAGGCAGCGGCACCACUGAGCUAAAUCCCCAGCCGAUGUCAUUGCUUUGAGUCCACACAUUGGAAAUCAGGCAUGGUGGUGCACUCCUACAAGUUCAGCCCUCUGGAGGGGAGGAGGAGCAGAUGUCUGAGUCCAGCCCAGGCAACUUAUCAACUUACUGAGACCCGGUCUCAAAAUAAAAAAUAAAAAAGGAUUGGGAAUGUAGCUCAGUGAGGAGGCCCUGGAAAGAGUUCCCAGUACUGCGCGCGCGCGCGCACACACACACACACACAGACACACACAGAUUCCACAUAUUAGGGAAACAUCUCAUACAUGUCUUUCUGAGUCUAGUUCAUUUCACAUAACAUGAUCUCCAGUCCAUCCAUUCUCCUGCAAAUGACAAUUUCAUCCUUACUUAUGGCUGUAUAAUAAUACUCCACUGUGCAUGUACACUACAUCUACUUUAUCCAUUCGUCUGUUGAUGGGCACCUAGGCCAGGUCCACGUGUUGGCCAUUGUGAGUUGUGCUGCAGUAAACAUGGGUGUGGAGGUGUCCCUAGAAUAUGCUG
rnacentral:lncRNA from 1 species